rnacentral:rRNA from 1 species
GCAAACGCUGGCGGCGUGCUUAACACAUGCAAGUCGAACGGAGUGCCUUAGAUUGAGACUUCGGUCAAUAUCUUUGGUUACUUAGUGGCGGACGGGUGAGUAACACGUGAGUAACCUGCCCUUGAGAGGGGAAUAACACACCGAAAGGUGUGCUAAUACCGCAUAACAUAUUGAAAUCGCAUGGUUUUAAUAUCAAAGAUUUAUCGCUCAAGGAUGGACCCGCGUCUGAUUAGCUAGUUGGCGAGGUAACGGCCCACCAAGGCGACGAUCAGUAGCCGGUCUGAGAGGAUGAACGGCCACAUUGGGACUGAGAUACGGCCCAGACUCCUACGGGAGGCAGCAGUGGGGAAUAUUGGGCAAUGGGGGAAACCCUGACCCAGCAACGCCGCGUGGAGGAAGAAGGUUUUCGGAUCGUAAACUCCUGUCCUCAGGGAAGAGCAGAAGACGGUACCUGAGGAGGAAGCCCCGGCUAACUACGUG